rnacentral:rRNA from 1 species
AACGAACGCUGGCGGCAUGCCUAACACAUGCAAGUCGAACGGGAUCCUGGUUUCGGCCAGGUGAGAGUGGCGGACGGGUGAGUAACGCGUGGGAACCUGCCCAGUGGUGGGGGAUAACUGCGGGAAACUGCAGCUAAUACCGCAUGAGCCCGCAAGGGGAAAGAUUGAUCGCCAUUGGAGGGGCCCGCGUUCGAUUAGGUAGUUGGUGAGGUAACGGCUCACCAAGCCUACGAUCGAUAGCUGGUCUGAGAGGAUGAUCAGCCACACUGGGACUGAGAUACGGCCCAGACUCCUACGGGAGGCAGCAGUGGGGAAUAUUGGACAAUGGGGCAACCCUGAUCCAGCAAUGCCGCGUGAGUGAUGAAGGCCU